GACGAACGCUGGCGGCGUGCUUAACACAUGCAAGUCGAACGGUGAAGCUCCAGCUUGCUGGAGUGGAUCAGUGGCGAACGGGUGAGUAACACGUGAGCAACCUGCCCCUGACUCUGGAAUAAGCGCUGGAAACGGCGGCUAAUACUGGAUACGAGAAGGGUCCGCAUGGGCACUGUCUGGAAGGUUCGGCGGUUGGGGAUGGGCUCGCGGCCUAUCAGCUUGUUGGUGAGGUAGUGGCUCACCAAGGCGACGACGGGUAGCCGGCCUGAGAGGGUGACCGGCCACACUGGGACUGAGACACGGCCCAGACUCCUACGGGAGGCAGCAGUGGGGAAUAUUGCACAAUGGGCGGAAGCCUGAUGCAGCGACGCCGCGUGCGGGAUGACGGCCUUCGGGUUGUAAACCUCUUUCAGCAGGGACGAAGCGAGAGUGACGGUACCUGCAGAAGAAGCACCGGCUAACUACGUG
rnacentral:rRNA from 1 species